UCUUUUCAAAGCCAAUGUUUUCCCUAAUCUUUUCAGUGACCUUAUUUGGGUAAUUUUACGGUUCAGUUCGAUUCCACUUCUUCGAAGCGUUCAUCUCAAAAUUCUUGGAGGUUCAACUCAGAUAUGCAGAUCAGAUAAAAUGUUUACUGGACUGGACACUUUACGAGCAACCCUAACCUCAAAGACUUUGUGACGAUGCUGAGUGGUUACUACUUUGUGACAUCCAUUGACACAUCUCUCGAUUUCAAUUGUCAAUAAAAGAUUGCUUAAGCUCAUGAGACAGCACGUUGCCGAUGACUAGACCAAGUGACUCUCUACAGGCCUCACUGGUUGCCAGGUUGAUUAGCAAAAGAUCUUGUCCAUCUCUCCGCUACCACUGAGCCAAGGAGCGAUGAGAACUCUCGCCGAAUCAUCUCUGGGCUAUUUCAAAGAACAAGAUCUAUUGAAGCUAACCUUUAACAAAGCAGAAAAAGAGAGAAGCAUAGGGUGUUUUGAUAAUAUUUUGGGUGAUUUGUACUACCUUUAGGGACAUGGGAGGACUGUUAUUGGUUGAGGGCUGUGAUUGGUUGUAUGCGUCUUUUGAGCUUUGUAUUUGCAUGUGUGGUCAUGGGAGGUUUAAUUGUUUUGUAAGGUCACUUGGUGUCUUCUCUUUCUUGUAGUGUUGUGCGUGCUGUGUGCACAUAGUAUAGUCGUAAACUCUUCCAUUUUCCCUGAUUGUAAUGCAAAUAUUAAAGUUGAAUGAAUUCAUAAUGGUGAGUUGAUGAUGGUUGCUUGA